rnacentral:rRNA from 1 species
GCACUAAUCUCCCCAGGGGAACCUGGCCCUUAAUUCGAUGAUCCACGAAUCUCUUACCUUUUCUAGUGCGCUGUGAUUCUAGCUAACUAUAGCGCAGUCAGCCUAUAUACCGCCGUUGUGCAGCCUGUACCGUGAGGGGACAUAAACAGGCGACGCACUAUUCUACUGCCACUCAGUAGUCUAGUACUAAUUCAGGUAAACGUGUAGCCUAUGAAGAGGGGUCGCUGGGUUACAAUUUUAGCUUUUAAUAGAAUUGGCCCACAAAGCUGGGCAACAAAAGAGGACUUGGAAGUAACUGCCCCACACAAAGGAGCAGUGAAUGCAGCUCUAGUGCGUGU